CAAAAAAGCAAUUAACUUCAUUAUGUGGGAGCUACAAACAGGAACUUAUGUUGUCCCCAUCGUGGAACUUAUCAACAGGGACUAAAAGCAUUUCCCCCACUCUGGAGGAUACAGCAUUCAAGGCUUCUUGGAAUUGGAGACCAGGACCCUACCUGACACCAAACCUGUUGUUGUCUUGAUCUUGGACUUCCCAGCUUCCAGAACUGUCUAUGCACCAUCUCUUCCUGUCUUUAUUGUCAGAUGCACCAUUAUGACUAACUUCAUAUAUCCCAUAUAAGAAAAGGUAAUGAUGCUAUUAUUACUCACAAAUCCAUGGCUCUUUAGAAUCUG